UCCCCUCCCCCAGGCUCAUCUGAAUUCUAAGUAUAGACCCAUGAUGAAAGAUUUCAAAGGCAAUAGCCAUUGCUCCAAAAUAGCUUGGUUAAUGUUUGCAGACUGGUUCAGCUCUUUUCUCCCUCCUGCCUGUCCAAAAGGUGCCAUUCCUGUGAUUAAAACCAUUACAGUCCUUCAAAGGUUAUACAUGACUUUCAGGCUUCAGCCUCAGUAGCAGCAGAGCUCUGGACGGACUCCUUUCAACCUUAAAUUGCCUUUGGGGUGACAGUCAACUCUGGUUUUAGCCUUUAUAGUCAGUGCCUGAAAAAUUAGAUGGAAACGUAAGAUCUUCUUAUUCUACCCCAAGCAGUGAUAAUUAUAGGCUGUGUUCAAUACGAUUUCAUUUUUUAGAUGAAUAGACUGAAGACAAUGUCCUUGGACUCAAUGGCCAGACACCGUAGAAACUAGUUACAUUUUUUAGUUAAAUCACUUAUUCCAGAAGAUGAUUCUUCAUAGUCUCUUCCUAUUGAGCCAGAGACUUGGGAUGUUAAGUUUUGACAUUUUGUGCUGUUUUUACAUUUUUGCUAUGUGCAGCUGAAUAAUUCCUUAUAAAGUGUGAGAACCAUUUUUCUGUUUUUGGAAAAGUAGGAGGCACAGGGAGUAAUAAGAAGCCAAUACUUUUGUGACAUUUUCUCCUAUUUCUGCCAUUCCGCUGGUUGCUAAUAUCAGCAGUUAAGACUCCAGAUUGGAGGCUCCAAGAAUUCAGGGAAUAGCCUAACAUCUAUUAAGGAAAAUUACCCUGUGCUCUUAACCUCACUCUGUGCUGUAUCUUAUAAUGUGAAGACAAUUUGAAAAGUCAUUUUAACCAGUAAAGUUAUAUAGCAUUAUUAUUAUAUAGCUAAGAUUAUUAAGAUAACAAUAUCUGAAAUUCAUUUAUUCAACAUUUUUGGAGUACCUACUGAGUGCCAGAUAGUGUCCUGGGUGACAAGAAUAAAAUGGUGAAAAAUGAUCUCUUCUUAUGGAGUUGGAAUCUAGAAGGAUCUGGGCUAGAUGUUGUGAUUGGAAAAGCUGUGCUGUAUAAUUUCACAAUUCUGCCCCACUUACAGUAUCUACAAGGACUAGAAUUGAGGGUGAUCAAAGGAUUUCAGCAGAUGGAAGGUGUCUGAACAAAUACACGGAUGCUCUAUACACCUAGUCAAAACUACAGCUCACCUAUAAUCUACUGGGCAGCCAGCAGAUUCUGUGGACCAAACUGGAUUUCACCAAUAAGUGUUUUGUUUUGGGUUAGUGAGAAACAUCGCAUCACGAAGAAAGAAUGCAAGAAGCAAGGGCUGCUUUACACUUUACCAAUCUGUUGUGCUGUUCCUGGAAAUUUUUGCAUUUGAAGCUUGACAGAAGCCUUGCUUCUUUUUUCUUUAUCGCAUAAACACCCAAGCCCCUUGCCUUCUUGGAGCAGAUUCGAGACCUGCUCUCCCGUCUCCUCGCUUUGCUGCAAACCUCGGCAUCUCACCGUUUUAGCUUGCUGCACGUUGGACAAAACAAACCCGGCUUUCAAAUAGUAUCCUUUCAGACCCUCGUCCUUUCUUUUAUCAAAUCACCAAUGACUUUUCUCUGGUCCUCAAUACAAAUUAAAAAUAUUAUCCCAACCAGUGGCUAGUACUAUAUAGCUGACUCUAAAACUUCACUUUAUAAGGUAAACAUGCCACCUGAAUAAGGCAGAAGCAGUAGAGAAGAUGAAGACACUGCCAACAGCUGUGUGAAGAGAUGGGCAAAGGUUCUUAGUGAGGGGACCUAACGAAGAGGAGACAGAUGACAUAACACCAUUUAAAAAGAAGUCUUCACAGCCUGAGCUGUCAGCUUGCCAGGCAGAAUUAUUUAUUGUAUUCCACUGCCUUGGCUGAGAGACAAAGAAAGAAAGAGAAGACCGUCACUGAGGGACAUCUUGAGACUACCUGUGGCCAAAGUGAUGGAUGAGGCCCAUCCUUGGCCAAAGGGAAGCCACUUAGCAGAAUCUGGGAAUCACAUCCCUCUACACCAUGGUUCCUGAUGCUUGGUUUCCCUCUUUCAUUCCUGUUAACCUAGAUGUCUCAACUUUACCUUUCAGAUAAUUGGCUGAAUAUGUUGUUCUCAUAUCAAUAAUCUAUAUAAAACCAGCAAGCUAUGAGAUGAACAGCACACAGCAAACAACACAACAAAGUGAUCUCUUUUUAGCACCGCAUCCUCAAAAUGUCAUCUCUCUAAGACAUAUGAGCUAAUCCACUUGUACUAUGUUUCUUAUCUUCCAUUAGUAAAUAUACCGGGUUUCUUAUCUUCCAUCAGUAAAUAUACCGGGUCACCAUUUAGCUGUGAUAAUACGUAGUUUCUGAAUGCUAUAACCUAAAGGAAGUUAAGUUGAUGCCAUCAAAACAUUUUCUGUGGUGGUGUCAGGGUGUGAUCAACUCACCUAUCAAAUGCAGAAACACCUGACACAAUUUCAAAACCACAAGUCUAGUCAGCUGAUUUAAAAAUGAUUGAUUACGUAAAAUUAAUCAAACCAGUGAUUUUAUGGAAUUUAAGCAGACAGCACAGCCAACGAAAUUUAUAGGUUAUUCCCCUAUAAACAUUAAUGUAGCAAACCGUGUGCCGCUUCGUUCCUUCAAGAUCCAAAGUUUCCUUAACUAAGUGGAGGCUGCAGAAACUGGCUUUUUAUACAAUUAAUGUUCCACAACCAGAUGAGAAUUUCUAACUGAAAAGGGUGGAACAUUUUUUAUCUUCUUCCAGCCAUAACUAUCACUGAAAUCUAUUGCAUUCAUGAUAUACCGUGGAUAUACUGUGGAUCAGAACAACACACAAAGUUCCACUCUCUCAGAGCCUGACACAGAGGAAGUAGCUGUGAUUUACUCAGAGAAGUCCUAGGGAAACAAUUUCUCCUAAGAAAAUAUAUUUUUAAAAUCUUCCAUUAUAACUCAUCCAAAAAGAAGCUAUUAAGCAUUGAACACUUUAUCACUAUAAAAUAUUCUUUACCUAUAUUAUUUUACAUAAAUCUUUCAAGGCAGAUAAUAUCACCAUUUUCCAAACAAGGAAACUGAGGUUUAUAGAAAUUAAAUUAUUUUCUCAAGUGGUAGAGCCAAGAUUUGAAUCCAGGUCUAAAUCCUGCAUUUGUAUUGUAAUGGUUGUAAAAUUUGUGCCAGCAGAGCCACGUCAUUACUUAAUCUGGGCUGUGGUUUCCUCAUCUGUAAAGUGGAACUAACACUGGCACCUAACAGGGUUUCUGAACCUCAGCACUAUUGACUGUGGGUUAGAUAACGCUUUGCUGGAGGGGCUGUCCUAUGCGCUGUAGGAUAGGUAGCAGCAUCUCUGGCCUUUCCGCUCACUAGAUGCCACUAGCUCAGCCCGCACAAUUGUGACAACCCAACCGAAAAUGGCUCCAGACAUUGCCUAAUGUCCCCUGGAGAGUAAAAUCACUGGUUGAGAACCACUGACCUACAUUAAAGGAUAGCUGUGAAGAGCCCAUCAGUGAAUACAUACAAAGAGCCUCAGAGUAUGUCUGGCCCAGAAUAUUUAAUGUUAGAUAGGUUGGUGGUGAAGAAGGAGGAGGAGGGGGAAGAGAAGAAGUAGUAGCCGUAGUAGGGAGAGCAGGAGGGGGAGAGGAAGGAGGAGAAAAGGAAGAAGAAAUAUACUUGCAUCUGACUAAAUUGUAUUGAUGUUUUAUUCAGGCCUGACUGGGUGGAUAUAAUUGAAAACCUCAGAGUUGAUCAGAAAGAAAAUAAAAUUUUAAAAGACAGGUAAGCUUCUAUCUUUAGGAUUAUUUCAGGAAAAUUUCCAUAAUCCUUUUUUCUUUUUUUAUGAAGCAAAAAUGUUUUACAUAUAAGAUUACAUAUUAAACAGCCAAAUAAAUAUUCGCUUAGUGUAAUGUUCCACACAUCAGCCUAGACCAAAUACCCUAUUGAAGUCUAUGUCCAGAUUUGAAUAGAUGGAACAUCCAUCACUUAAAAGAGUAUUAUAAAUACUAUUUUUUCCUUAGUCAGGAUAAUUAACCUUGAAAUGAUUUUAUCCUUGAGAACAUUCGUCAUGGAUUAAUACAUUUACUAAUCAAUGUUACAGCUGUGAUUAAGCGUGUUGAGAUUAUAAAUGAAAUUAAACUACAAAAUAUGUCUUACCUAAAGUCUUAACAGGAUCAGAGUAAUCAGAGUCAGUAAAUUGUCCCAUGACAUUUGUGGCUCUAAAUUUAAAUCUAUGAAAUAAAAAACAACAAUUUACAUACCAUAUGACUUUUUUUUCUAUGAACAAUUUAACAAAUGGCUGUGAAAAAGACAUUUUUGUUAAAGAGAAAAUUAACUUACAAAGUGUAAACUUGGAAAUCAAUCACCAUCAGGACAAAUAAAUAAUAUCUUUACGUGAAAUUAUCUUGUACAUGGACCUCUUGAACUUCAUGAGAGAGUGACCAAAAAUUUGACCAGACUCAUGAAUAGUCAGCAGGUUAAUCAAAUGAAGUAGAUCACCUCCUCCACAGAUUUAUUUGGAUGAAACCACUGAAUGUCUGCACAAGCACACUUUAUAAAUAUAAAGCAUAAUAACUGUUACACCUCAGCCACCUUUGAAAAUGCCAGUAAGCCAGAUUUAGAAUAGUCAUAUAAAACUUAUCCUGUUCAAAUAUAAACAAAUGAAGAACAAUGCUUAAUUCCAAGUGUGCACAGCUGUAUUUUUACUUUCUGUGCUUUCAUGACAUAUGAAAUACAAAAUGGAUGCAGAAGAAAAUCAAUCUUAAAAAUCACUGGAUGAUUCUGUCACCACAGAGGCAACCGAAAUUUACCUUAUUUUAAAAGUAUGGGACUCCCCUGGUGGCACGGUGGUUAAGAAUCCACCUGCCAAUGUAUGGGACAUGGGUUCAAGCCCCAGUCCAGAAAGAUCCCACAGGCCUUGGACCAACUAAGCCCAUGCACCACAACUACUGAGCCUGUGCUCUAGAGCUCACGAGCCACAACUACUGAGGCUGCAUGCCACAACUACUGAAGUCUGUGCUCCUAGAGUCCAUGCUCCGCAACAAGAGAAGCCACCAUGGUGAGAAGCCCGCGCACCGCAACGAAAAGUAGCCCCCGCUCGCCACAACUAGAGAAAGCCCGCGGGCAGCAACGAAGACCCAACGCAGCCAAAAAUAAAUAAAUAAAUUUAUUUUAAAAAAGAAAUCCGUACUCUUUAAAAAAACAAAACUAUGAACCUACAAGAAUUUUAAAAUAUAAAACCAAUCUACAUUAAUAAAUUGCACUUCAGAAUUUAA